rnacentral:rRNA from 1 species
AUACGAAUGGUGCAAGCGUUGUUCGGAAUCACUGGGCAUAAAGAGCACGUAGGCGGCGAGGCAAGUCGGUUGUGAAAUCCCCCGGCUCAACCGGGGAAUAGCAACCGAAACUACUUGGCUAGAGUGUGGGAGGGGAGAACGGAAUUCCUGGUGGAGCGGUGAAAUGCGUAGAUAUCAGGAGGAACGCCGGAGGCGAAAGCGGUUCUCUGGCCCACAACUGACGCUGAGGUGCGAAAGCUAGGGGAGCAAACAGGAUUAGAAACCCCAGUAGUCC